rnacentral:rRNA from 1 species
CCUACGGGAGGGCAGCAGUAAGGAAGUAUUGGUCAAUGGGCGCAAGCCUGAACCAGCCAUGCCGCGUGCAGGAAGACGGCCCUAUGGGUUGUAAACUGCUUUUGAACAAGAGAAAACCUCGGUACGUGUACCGAGCUGAUAGUAUUGUUAGAAUAAGCAUCGGCUAACUUCGUGCCAGCAGCCGCGGUAAGACGAAGGAUGCAAGCGUUAUCCGGAUUCAUUGGGUUUAAAGGGUGCGUAGGCGGCCUGAUAAGUCAGUGGUGAAAUCUCUCAGCUUAACUGAGAAACUGCCAUUGAUACUGUCGGGCUUGAGUACAGAUGAUGUGGGCGGAAUAUGACAUGUAGUGGUGAAAUACUUAGAUAUGUCAUAGAACACCGAUUGCGAAGGCAGCUCACAAAACUGUAACUGACGCUGAGGCACGAAAGUGCGGGGAUCAAACAGGAUUAGAUACCCUGGUAGUCCGCACCGUAAACGAUGAUUACUCGUUGUUGGCAAUAUGACCGUCAGCGACCAAGCGAAAGCGAUAAGAAUCACCUGGGGAGUACGCCGGNAACGGUUGAAAACGUCGAAAAGAGAGUAGACGACGNGAGGAGNGCGACGACGACGACGAGGGGAGGAGG